CCGACCUUAGCUCAGUUGGCAGAGCGGAAGACUGUAGUGGUACACACAGCUAUCUUUAGGUCGCUGGUUCGAUUCCGGCAGGUCGGA
rfam:Spinacia oleracea cultivar SynViroflay scaffold9739.con0002.1, whole genome shotgun sequence.